GGUCGGCAGAUCACCGAGGCGUCGCCCCCGCAAGGGAAGCUAAACCUGCC
rnacentral:ncRNA from 1 species